GCGCCGAGGGUCCACAGCCAUAUAAACUCCUCCGUCGAGCUCAACACAGAGCAGAAAACCAGAAGGAAUCGAAGAAAAGAGAGAUGUUAGGAAUGGAGGAACCAAUUUUACUGCUGAAAUUACUCAAUGGCGGCGAUUCGCGGCCUUUGGAUGAACUCAUCUCGGAAUUCAAGUCCAAAGUCCAGCCUUCUCGCAUCUUCGCCUUCUGCUCCUCCGUCGCCAUUUUACUCACCGAGAGUAAAGUGUUAAGACCAACACAGCGUCUGGUUGGAUUUGCAAUUCUCCACCAGGCAUAUUCUUUCCAGCAGCCUAGUUCUAACCCGUUCAGUUUUGUGCUUGUGAAUGCAGCAUCCAAUGAAGAAGCUGAAAAAUUUGAAAGAGGUUUUAUUCUUCAAUUGUUAGGCUCCGCCAACUCCACGAAUAAAGCAGAGGUCCUGAAAUUGUCUGUUGCAGAUUACAUGAGAAACUUUGUUCCUUCAUCACACACUUUUCCUCCUAGUGAGCAGCUACAGCAGCAGUAUUGUAGUAAAGUUGGCCCAGUAUUAUUUGGUAGCUUGUUCAGGAAUCGUGUGAUAAAUAUCUUGCCAGAUCCCGAUGUUCCACUGGGCUGUGAUCCCAAUUCGACAGAGCUUGACCUGCAACCUGGAGUCACACCCAAGACUGGAUCUGGGGAUAGGGAUGAGACCAUAAGUGGAUUGCUGCAAAAUUUAUCAUUGGAAGGAUUAGGUCCUCAAUGGAUCAGACAACAACCACCGAGGCUACCAGUGCUAGAGGGAGAACUGGUGUGGUUAAAUCCGGAUAAUACUCAUGAGCUGAUGUGGGAUCAUGGUAUGUGUGCUGAUACUAGCAGAGGAGCAGCAGUUAGGGAUUUGAUUGCAAAAGCUUUGAAAGGGCCACUUGCACCUGCUCAACGGGAGCAAGUCUUAUUGGAGUUUGCCAAUGAUCCAAAGCUUGUAUAUCACUGUGGGCUGACACCAAGAAAGCUACCAGAACUUGUGGAGAAUAAUCCUAUCAUUGCAGUUGAAGUUCUCGUUAAGCUUGCAAAUUCAGCUGAAAUUGAAGAGUAUUUCACUGUUCUUGUCAAUAUGGAUAUGAGCCUUCAUUCAAUGGAAGUGGUUAACAGGCUUACUACAGCUGUCGAACUACCGACCGAAUUCAUUCAUUUGUAUAUAACGAACUGUAUAUCUUCCUGUGAGAACGCCAAGGUUCUUAGUCCUCUCUAUGCUUUGGUGUACUUCCCAAUUUCCGCAACCCCACAUUGAAACCCUUAAACCUUUGACCUCAUCAUGGUUCUAUUUUAGCUCUCUCUCUCUCUCUAUCUCUUCUUCUAAUUGUCUUCUAAUUUUUUUUGUUGGGGGGGCUUCGUGUAUUAAGCAGUAAUAACAUGAUGUGAUCUAUCAGAAUACUGUGGUAGGUCAUCUCCAUGACAUGAUUUUAGGUGAAUAGCUUCAUUGAACUUUAUGAAGAGAACGUAUGCCAGUUGCAAAUAAUCCAGGCAUUGAUUUUUGCCGUGGUAUAGUUCUUUCCGCUAAUUAUGUUUAUCCAUUGAAAAGUCUACAAUUUCCUGCUUCAAUCAAGACAGACAUGUACUGUGGUAGCUGACAAUUCCAGAGGCUGAAGGACAAGUACAUGCAGAAUAGACUUGUCAGACUUGUGUGUGUCUUCCUGCAGAGCCUGAUCCGGAAUAAAAUAAUCAAUGUUCAGGAUCUAUUCAUUGAAGUCCAAGCCUUUUGUAUAGAGUUUUCAAGGAUAAGAGAAGCAGCUGGGUUGUUUAGGCUCCUUAAAAGCUUAGAAUAAGAUAGUCUAGUUUAACUCAGUUCUCCUUCCCUUUCGUCGUGUAAGAAAUCUUCAUGUUAUCCAUUUUCCUCCAGCAAACCAAUUUUUUUCCCCCUUCCUGCCAUGUUGUUGUGAUGUUCUAUUUUGAGGAUAGCAUCGUGACUUGUAAUGUAGUUGGAUUUUUUCCCCUUUUGGUUGCUUAAUCUUUUCCAGUGUUUUCAUGCAGAGCUCAUUGUUUCACCCAGCAACUGAAUGGGAAAAAUUAAUAUAUUGAUGUGGAAUUUCUACUUUGUGAUUGUA